ensembl:lncRNA
CCCACCUGGAAGGAGUCUCUGUCCUCAUUGGCGCACAGUGCUUGUAACGCCCUGUUGCCACGGCGAUACACUCAGCGAGAAGCUGAUAGGAAGAGAGUGCUGAUGUGGGCGGAGGGGGCGGAGACACAGAACAGUGCCCCACCCCCCUCUGAUGCUUCAACACAAUUGGCUAAUGCGGCCGACUCUGACCAAGAUGUUUCCCAUGAUGCCUGGAAACACCCAAACACUCCCUGCCUGUCCAAAGCCCUGCAGACAGAUGAUGAGACCCCAGCUCAGCAGGUGACCCCCGAGGACCACAGUGUGGUGACUGUAUUGAUUAAGCAUUGAUUAUUUCUGAUUUGUGUAUUUCCUGCUGGAGGCGUCGGCUCUGCUGACAGAAGUCAGAAACCUGCAGAGGGACAAAUGGCUGUUGGAACAGCAGCUGCAGGCUUGGAGGCUCACCGUCCAAUCAGAGCAGGGCAUCCUUGAGGACAGGUGUGCUGAGAUGGAGGUUACCAUGGAAACGCUCAGACAGCACAACAACCGUCUUCAGGCCAUGCUCACACAGGCUCUGAACAAGAUGGCUGCUCAGCAAGACACCAACAACUCACCACAGAGUGUCAACACCACGCUAACCUCUGAUGCUCAGAGGAACACCAACGAAGAAGAGGACGAGGAGGACGAGAAUGAGGAGGAAGACGAGGAGGAGAAUGAGGAGGAAGACGAGGAGGACGAGGACAGAACACAAACUCCAUCUCCCACAGUCUACCAGAGCUCACCUCUGACUUAUGAGGAACACUGUGAGGUGAAGGACGACAUCCAGCAUCCAGCAGGACGAGAUGGAGCUGAGAAGGCAGAGCUACAGGUGGAAGACCUGUCUGAGGGAGAGGAGGAUUGUGGGACGUGUAGUCCAGAGAAGCGGCUGCAGGAGGCUGUGAACAGGCUAAAGGCUGUGAUGGAAGUGGACAGGUGGACAGAGACACACACAGGUGUGUCUAUUGUCUAUUGA